rnacentral:tRNA from 1 species
GGGAAUGGGGCUCAGUGGUAGAGUGCUUGCCUUGCAUGCAUGAAGCCCUGGGUUUGAUUCCUCAGUACCA